ensembl:lncRNA
AUUGUGAUCACCACACGCAGAGCGGUCGCCGUGUCUCUCGCUGUUUGCCGUCUUACUCAUUCCUGCCAAGGGAUCAAAAGACACCUAACCUCCGGACAAAAUACCUUACCUACCAGAUUGGAUGCCAUGUGAUGGGUGGUUCAAGAAGCCACCGCGGUGACACAUACUGGAAUUUGUGUUGUCUGCUUUCGGAAUGUGGACAUACGGAGAAAAGCAUUCCUGGUGGUAGAGUUUAAAUUCCUCCACAACACUUGCGUACAACCAAACCAGGCUGAUGGUGGCAUCUGUUCUUGAGGUCAAACUGUUGAACAAAGGAGGCAAACCCCUGUGUUCCCCAGGCACCACGGGACUGACCGCUGCCCCCACCCAGACGAACCGGAUAAUCCCAUAAGAGCUCGCUGGAUGACUGAGCCAAUGAACACAAGUCCCAAGGCGAAGCAACCAUCCCCGGUUGUAAGCAAGCAAACACAGUUGAACCCUCACCCCCCCUGUGUCCCGCUGUGUCUCCCUC